GCACGGUAGCGCAGUGGUUAGCACUGUUGCCUCACAGCAACUAGGUUGUGGGUUUGAAUCUGGCCUGGUGUA